rnacentral:rRNA from 1 species
GACGAACGCUGGCGGCGUGCUUAACACAUGCAAGUCGAACGGAAAGGCCUUUUCGGAGGUACUCGAGUGGCGAACGGGUGAGUAACACGUGGGUGAUCUGCCCUGCACUCUGGGAUAAGCCUGGGAAACUGGGUCUAAUACCGGAUAGGACCGCACUUUAGUGUGUGUGGUGGAAAGUUUUUUCGGUGUAGGAUGGGCCCGCGGCCUAUCAGCUUGUUGGUGGGGUAAUGGCCUACCAAGGCGGCGACGGGUAGCCGGACUGAGAGGUUGGUCGGCCACAUUGGGACUGAGAUACGGCCCAGACUCCUACGGGAGGCAGCAGUGGGGAAUAUUGCACAAUGGGCGCAAGCCUGAUGCAGCGACGCCGCGUGGGGGAGGACGGCCUUCGGGUUGUAAACUCCUUUCGCCAGGGACGAAGCGUUUUGUGACGGUACCUGGAGAAGAAGCACCGGCUAACUACGUG